UACGGAGGGUGCAAGCGUUGCUCGGAAUUAUUGGGCGUAAAGGGUAGGUAGGUGGUCUUAUUUGUCUGAGGUGAAAGCCUUGAGCUUAACUCAAGAAGUGCCUCAGAAACGGUGAGACUGGAGUCCUGGAGAGGGUCGUGGAAUUCCCGGUGUAGCGGUGAAAUGCGUAGAUAUCGAGAGGAACACCUGCGGCGAAGGCGGGUUGCUGGGCUGACACUGACGCUGACAGCGCGAAAGCUAGGGGAGCGAACGGG
rnacentral:rRNA from 1 species